GGCUCAGAUUGAACGCUGGCGGCAUGCCUUACACAUGCAAGUCGAACGGCAGCACGGGGCAACCUGGUGGCGAGUGGCGAACGGGUGAGUAAUGCAUCGGAGCGUGCCAUUGAGUGGGGGAUAACGUAGCGAAAGUUGCGCUAAUACCGCAUAUUCUGUGAGCAGGAAAGCAGGGGACCGCAAGGCCUUGCGCUCUUUGAGCGGCCGAUGUCAGAUUAGCUAGUUGGUGAGGUAACGGCUUACCAAGGCGACGAUCUGUAGCGGGUCUGAGAGGAUGAUCCGCCACACUGGAACUGAGACACGGUCCAGACUCCUACGGGAGGCAGCAGUGGGGAAUUUUGGACAAUGGGCGCAAGCCUGAUCCAGCCAUGCCGCGUGAGUGAAGAAGGCCUUCGGGUUGUAAAGCUCUUUCGGCCGGGAAGAAAUCGCAUGGGUUAAUACCCUGUGUGGAUGACGGUACCGGAAUAAGAAGCACCGGCUAACUCCGUG
rnacentral:rRNA from 1 species